rnacentral:rRNA from 1 species
CGGUCCCCUGUAUGAGUGCAGCAGUGGGGUUCUAUCUUGCCUCGCAAGUAUGACGCUAACGUCUGAUUAGCUAGUUGGUGUGGUAAGAGCGCACCAAGGCGACGAUCAGUAGCUGGUCUGAGAGGAUGAUCAGCCACACUGGGACUGAGACACCCCCCAGACUCCUACGGGAGGCAGCAGUGGGGAAUUUUCCGCAAUGGGCGAAAGCCUGACGGAGCAAUACCGCGUGAGGGAGGAAGGCUCUUGGGUUGUAAACCUCUUUUCUCAGGGAAUAAAAAAAUGAAGGUACCUGAGGAAUAAGCAUCGGCUAACUCCGUGCCAGCAGCCGCGGUAAUACGGGAGGAUGCAAGCGUUAUCCGGAAUGAUUGGCCGUAAAGCGUCCGAGGUGGC